rnacentral:miRNA from 1 species
GGUUUCUCUGUGUAGCCUUGGCUGUCCUGAAACUCACUCUGUAGACCAGGCUGGCCUUGAACUCACAGAGAUUCACCUGCCUCUGCGUCCUGAGUGCUGGGAUUAAAGGCAUGAGCCACCA